GUCUUGGGGGGAAGGCUCACCGGGGUGGAGGGUGUGAGAGGGGGCUAGGCCUUCAGGGGUUUUCUGUGCGGAGCAGAGAGCGAGGUUGCGGAGCGAGGGCCUCCAGUCACCGAGCGCCCAGGGGCCCGCGUGCGGGAGCGACUCGGUGGGAGCACGCACGGCGUGGGCGCGUGCGGAACACACCCUCCGGCCGAGGGUCGGACGUGCAGACAGGCCCUGAAGGCCCAACCGCUUUCUCAGCUCCCACCCCAGUCCGCACCACCAGCGGACACACGGAGCCCUGGGCCCUGUCUGAACUGCUACCACCGCCCCCUCAUCCCCUGUUCCUCAGACGUUGGGAGAGGGGAGAACAGGGGAGGCCCAGGGUGUGUGAGAGGAGAGUUGGCUGAUUUCUUUCAAAAAUGAGAUGCCAAACCCGUGAUACAAAAUGACAGCACCUCAGUUGACCUCCGCAGGGCCUCUGGCCCAGGGACUCACAGCGCCUGCCCCCCUCCCCUUCUAAAGUUUGCUUCUGAGGCUGGACCUUGAGCGAAGAGGCCAAAGAUAUGUACAUUAGAGGAACAGUGAGAGAGAGAGAGUUUCCAAGUGUACUUACUGCAGUCUUCUAGAUCACAACAGGUAACAGAAGAGGAUCACAGGUGGAUGGAACCACAUGGAACAGGUGGAAAAGCACCAGUUACCAAAAAUGAAGCCAGUAAGCAUGGUGGCCACUGUGGACCAGUCUGGCCCCUCUCCAGGAAGAAGCCUGAGAGAUCCCCCUGCUGACCUUCUCAGAAAUAUGUGGUCUUACUCUGGAGUUCCCAUGCUUGCAUUUUCUGGGGAAACAAAGGCAUGGCUGGGUUGGGAUGAGAGGUUCAUGCUUCCUACGUAUGCUGAGUAUCUCAUGUUGCAGAGACCAAGGAGCUAGUGAAGCCUUCAUUAGCCUGUUUGCAGAUGAACAGCCAGCUGUAGCUUCAUUGCAAUAAAGUGUUAGAA